rnacentral:rRNA from 1 species
GACGAACGCUGGCGGCGUGCCUAAUACAUGCAAGUAGAACGCUGAAGGAGGAGCUUGCUUCUCUGGAUGAGUUGCGAACGGGUGAGUAACGCGUAGGUAACCUGCCUGGUAGCGGGGGAUAACUAUUGGAAACGAUAGCUAAUACCGCAUAAUAUUGACUAUUGCAUGAUAGUCAGUUGAAAGGUGCAACUGCACCACUACCAGAUGGACCUGCGUUGUAUUAGCUAGUUGGUGGGGUAACGGCUCACCAAGGCGACGAUACAUAGCCGACCUGAGAGGGUGAUCGGCCACACUGGGACUGAGACACGGCCCAGACUCCUACGGGAGGCAGCAGUAGGGGAUCUUCGGCAAUGGACGGAAGUCUGACCGAGCAACGCCGCGUGAGUGAAGAAGGUUUUCGGAUCGUAAAGCUCUGUUGUAAGAGAAGAACGAGUGUGAGAGUGGAAAGCUCACACUGUGACGGUAUCUUACCAGAAAGGGACGGCUAGCUACGUG